rnacentral:rRNA from 1 species
UACGUAGGGCGCAAGCGUUAUCCGGAAUUAUUGGGCGUAAAGAGCUCGUAGGCGGUUUUGUCGCGUCUGCCGUGAAAAGUCCGGGGCUCAACUCCGGAUCUGCGGUGGGUACGGGCAGACUAGAGUGAUGUAGGGGGAGACUGGAAUUCCUGGUGUAGCGGUGAAAUGCGCAGAUAUCAGGAGGAACACCGAUGGCGAAGGCAGGUCUCUGGGCAUUAACUGACGCUGAGGAGCGAAAGCAUGGGGGAGCGAACAGG